ensembl:misc_RNA 7SK 7SK RNA
AGAUGUGAGCGUGAUAUAGCUUCUACAUCGGUCACCCCAUGGAUCACCAAGGUUGGUUUGGCUAAUCUGGCUGACUAGGCGGUGCCCCUUCCUCCCUUCACGACUCAAUGUAUGUCCCUCCUCCUGUGGCUGUGCUCUCUGUUGAAGAGCAUGAAGACCUUCCCCAGUAGAGAAGGACUGGUCUUCCGCCAAAGGUAUACACGCAGCUGCGCUGCCCUGCUAGAGCCUCCCGACAAGCUCUCAAGGACACAAAACUGAACGCCUCACGUAGCACACAGAAGUCUGCUGCCAGUGAGUCCACCUUAACUGCACUCACAGAAGUCUUCUGCUUCUAGCAUGCAAGGUAAAC